rnacentral:lncRNA from 1 species
CUAAUCCAAGUCCCAGUCCGUCUCAUACUUUUGUACCAGAUUUCAGAUCGAGUCCAAAACAAAAUCACAUACAAAUCAGUACCAUAUACCAGAUUCCAGGUAGAGCCAAAACGAAACCACAAACAAAUCAUGUAUCAUAUAUCCGACGGCAAUAGCUCCGCGAGCCUAGAAAAUCUGCUGACUGGAGCUAGAACGCGCACCUAGAGCCGAAAAAAAUAGCUUCACCCGGCUCGUCUUUGGUUUGGUCCGCUUCGGUAUCGCACUGAUUCGGAGAUGGGAUGUGGCGGCACGGGGAGGAAGAGAAGUGAGGGCGCGCUGAUUUGGGGAGGAGAAGGGCGAGAUAUAUCCGACGGCAAUAGCUCCGCGAGCCUAGAAAAUCUGCUGACUGGAGCUAGAACGCGCACCUGGAGCGGAAAAAAACAGCUUCACCUGGCUCGUCUUUGGUUUGGU